AUUGAACGCUGGCGGCAUGCCUUACACAUGCAAGUCGAACGGCAGCACGGGAGCAAUCCUGGUGGCGAGUGGCGAACGGGUGAGUAAAGCAUCGGAACGUGCCCAGUCGUGGGGGAUAACGUAGCGAAAGCUACGCUAAUACCGCAUACGAUCUAUGGAUGAAAGCGGGGGAUCGCAAGACCUCGCGCGAUUGGAGCGGCCGAUGUCAGAUUAGGUAGCUGGUGAGGUAAAGGCUCACCAAGCCGACGAUCUGUAGCUGGUCUGAGAGGACGACCAGCCACACUGGGACUGAGACACGGCCCAGACUCCUACGGGAGGCAGCAGUGGGGAAUUUUGGACAAUGGGCGCAAGCCUGAUCCAGCAAUGCCGCGUGCAGGAUGAAGGCCUUCGGGUUGUAAACUGCUUUUGUACGGAGCGAAACGGCUUCCACUAAUACUGGGGGCUAAUGACGGUACCGUAAGAAUAAGCACCGGCUAACUACGUGCCAGCCGCCGCCGUAAAAC
rnacentral:rRNA from 1 species